rnacentral:misc_RNA from 1 species
GAAAAAUGAUGAACAACUCAAAUAAAAUAUAUAAUGGAAAGAAUCUAAAUUAGUUGACAUGAUGAAUAUGUCUGAAUUUUUAUUAUAUUCACUUUCACACAGGACUGUUGUCUAUCUAUGUGGGGAUCACAGUUUAUAUAUAUAUCAAUGAUAAAAUAAGGGAAAUGUAUUGGAAACAAUAAACAAUGAAGUUCUGAGAAGAAGGGAUUUUUCUAAAUUACUAUUUUUGUCUUUUCAUGGAAAUACUAAUAGUCAUUUGCUUUAAUUUUUGGCAAACAAAUAGAGUUAAAUAUUUUGGUAAUUUACAUUUGUCCAUUUUCUGGCAUGCUUAAUUGAUGCUAUUUGCAUUUGUUUGUUAUUUUUUUUAUUGCUGGUAUUGAUUAUUACAAGUAAUUUGAACAAUUUGCUUAAAGUUAGUAAAAAAAUUCUCUUUUGCACUAUUCAUUGGGAGGUGGACUUGACUGACAAUUUUGAAAUUCUAGAAGCAACUUUUGCUUUCUCAAGUUUUUUUAUUUCUGCAUUUUAGAAAUUGAAACAUCAUUAUGAGAACGAAUACAAGUAUUUAUGAUUGUUCUGGUAGUGGGGAGAAAAGAUAACAGAGCACUGGAGUUGUUAAAGCAUGGUUAUGAUGCGUACUUCAAAAUUAAAUUUCUGUGUUGUUAAUUUGGACUUCUCUACAAUGUAGAAAUGCUAGAAUUUUCAUGAUUUCUUAAUACAAUCUCCUUGGAAAUCAUUAUGGGAGUUUUACUUCAGGAAUGUGCCACUUGAGGCAUGC